rnacentral:rRNA from 1 species
GACGAACGCUGGCGGCGUGCUUAACACAUGCAAGUCGAGCGGUAAGGCCCUUUCGGGGGUACACGAGCGGCGAACGGGUGAGUAACACGUGGGUGACCUGCCCUCAGCUCUGGGAUAAGCCUGGGAAACUGGGUCUAAUACCGGAUAUGACUCCAUGACGCAUGUUGUGGGGUGGAAAGCCUUGUGCGGCUGAGGAUGGGCCCGCGGCCUAUCAGCUUGUUGGUGGGGUGAUGGCCUACCAAGGCGACGACGGGUAGCCGGCCUGAGAGGGCGACCGGCCACACUGGGACUGAGACACGGCCCAGACUCCUACGGGAAGCAGCAGUGGGGAAUCUUGCGCAAUGGGCGAAAGCCUGACGCAGCGACGCCGCGUGAGGGAUGAC